UACAGAGGUCUCAAGCGUUGUUCGGAUUCAUUGGGCGUAAAGGGUGCGUAGGCGGCGCGGUAAGUCGGGUGUGAAAAUCUCGGAGCUUAACUCCGAAACUGCAUUCGAUACUGCCGUGCUUGAGGACUGGAGAGGAGACUGGAAUUUACGGUGUAGCGGUGAAAUGCGUAGAUAUCGUAAGGAAGACCAGUGGCGAAGGCGGGUCUCUGGACAGUUCCUGACGCUGAGGCACGAAGGCCAGGGGGAGCAAACGGG
rnacentral:rRNA from 1 species